GAAGAAACUCCUGGCCUCUGUAUUCUCUUUUCUCCAACCUCCAGGAAACCUGCCUUGGUACAGAUGCUGAUCUUUGCUGUCUUUGUCCUGGAGGAAGUCACACAAGAUCAUCAUCUGCUGCUUCCUCGCACCAAACAGCAAUGAGAUGGUGACAAACUUCAGUACUUAUUCCCACCAUCUGCCAACCCAAACCUAGAGAGUCUUGUUUAAAGGGUCUUGUAUCCCCAUUUCCUGUUGUCUGAAGCCUGCUUACAUGGUUUAAAACCUAGUAAUUCAUCCAUCGUGGGGGAUGCUCAGUGCUGUCCUGAGGGAGUGAACAUGAACCAACUUGCUUCCAGUCUUUGAGGGUUUUUCCCCCAUGCCCUGUUUGAUUCUCAGUCAGCGUUGCCAACUUCUUGCCAUGCCAAAAGAUGGUUUCCUUACCCCCAUACUGCAAACACCCUCCUGGCUGGGAGCAGGCAACCCUCCAAGCUGUUUCCUUCUCAUUUUGGCAAACCUUCUGACACGAGUUGGAGCAAAUGACAUGUGAUGACAUGAACCUCUGCUUUUCUCUCCAUUGUAACUAUCUCAGCCACUGGAAACCUCACAGCUCUCUGGUGGGUCCUGAUGAGCGUUGCCACCUCAGCCUGCAUUGCUCUCCAUGAACAUUUAUUGUGACACAAAGGGAAUCUGAGUUUGCAGUUCAGGUCUUAGCAUGCCCAGCAGGACUUAAAGUCUGGGUUGAAAUGUUAACUCCAAGGCCAAGAGAGUAGGAAUAGGACUCAAAUUUUCCAUAUCUCCCUUGUGUAUCUUGGCAGGAGGAACGGUAUAGACAGCAACACGCAAUAGGGAAGAACAGGUCAGGGGAUGGGAGAGAACCACUCUGGACCUGCAUGUGAUACAUCAACUGAUACAUCGCAAAAGCAGUGGCUGACCUUAGUUCAAGGAGAAAUUUCCUAGAAACUGGACUGGGGUUUUCUUCCUCUAACCACGAGGUAAAAUGCAGUCCUGGUUUAUAAUGCCCUUUGAGGUGCUUGGUGAUGAAUAAUUCUAUGUAGGUAUACAAUCAAUUCUACAACCCAUCCUUCUAUACACUUUCUAAUAUUUUUCAGAGAUUUGCUGGGAAGUGUUUGUUGUUUUGGCUUAUGUUUUCUUAUCAUACCAUAGAAUAAUCAACAUUUUAAACUAUUCAGCCUUUAAACACCAAGCCCAACCAUUCCUGAUUGUUUUUUCAUGCUCUUAGAGAACAAUAAUUACUAACACUUUGUCUUCAGACCUCUUUGCAACAAUAUACGUAGGCAACUUACAUCGUGUCUGAAAAAUCCCCUUGAAGUCCAACAUGUAAGUAUUUUUCUGAAUCAAAGCCUGGAAGCUAUGAUGUCUGUAAUUGUGCAAGAGCCUUAAAAUCACAGGAGGGAGUUUUGUUGGAGUUUACAUUGUUCUGAACAGACACCUUUCAAAAUCGGCUGGAACAGUGGAGUUUUGGUCGGAACUGAGCAUCGAUCAUUGCUGAAUAAGGAGACUGUUCAACUGCGCAUUCAUUGUAGAGGGGAAAAAAAUCAGGCCAGCUGAAGAGUUUAUUACCUGAGAAGAGUAUUUUUCCAGCCUUCGUUAUUCCUGAAGCCGUGCGAGGGACACUGCAGUGAUUUCAUACAUCAGGGAGACAUAAAGAAAGAGUGGUCUCCUGGGCUGUGGAACAAAGAGAAACAAACUUCAAAUCUCAGAGCAAAC
ensembl:lncRNA